AGGUUGAGAUUUGUUGCAUAUAUGUUGUAAAAGCAGCCAUAUUGCACUUGUCCCGGCCUGC
rnacentral:pre_miRNA from 1 species